rnacentral:rRNA from 1 species
CUACGGGCUGCACCAGUGGGGAAUAUUGCACAAUGGGCGCAAGCCUGAUGCAGCCAUGCCGCGUGUACGAAGAAGGCCUUCGGGUUGUAAAGUACUUUCAGCGGGGAGGAAGGGAGUAAAGUUAAUACCUUUGCUCAUUGACGUUACCCGCAGAAGAAGCACCGGCUAACUCCGUGCCAGCAGCCGCGGUAAUACGGAGGGUGCAAGUGUUAAUCGGAAUUACUGGGCGUAAAGCGCACGCAGGCGGUUUGUUAAGUCAGAUGUGAAAUCCCCGGGCUCAACCUGGGAACUGCAUCUGAUACUGGCAAGCUUGAGUCUCGUAGAGGGGGGUAGAAUUCCAGGUGUAGCGGUGAAAUGCGUAGAGAUCUGGAGGAAUACCGGUGGCGAAGGCGGCCCCCUGGACGAAGACUGACGCUCAGGUGCGAAAGCGUGGGGAGCAAACAGGAUUAGAUACCCCGGUAGUC